GAUGAACGCUGGCGGCGUGCCUAAUACAUGCAAGUCGAGCGAACGGACGAGAAGCUUGCUUCUCUGAUGUUAGCGGCGGACGGGUGAGUAACACGUGGAUAACCUACCUAUAAGACUGGGAUAACUUCGGGAAACCGGAGCUAAUACCGGAUAAUAUUUUGAACCGCAUGGUUCAAAAGUGAAAAACGGUCUUGCUGUCACUUAUAGAUGGAUCCGCGCUGCAUUAGCUAGUUGGUAAGGUAACGGCUUACCAAGGCAACGAUGCAUAGCCGACCUGAGAGGGUGCUCGGCCACACUGGAACUGAGACACGGUCCAGACUCCUACGGGAGGCAGCAGUAGGGAAUCUUCCGCAAUGGGCGAAAGCCUGACGGAGCAACGCCGCGUGAGUGAUGAAGGUCUUCGGAUCGUAAAACUCUGUUAUUAGGGAAGAACAUAUGUGUAAGUAACUGUGCACAUCUUGACGGUACCUAAUCAGAAAGCCACGGCUAACUACGUG
rnacentral:rRNA from 1 species